rnacentral:rRNA from 1 species
AGAGUUUGAUCCUGGCUCAGGACGAACGCUGGCGGCGUGCCUAACACAUGCAAGUCGAGCGAGUGAGUCUCCUUCGGGAGUGAAGCUAGCGGCGGACGGGUGAGUAACACGUGGGCAACCUGCCUCAUAGAGGGGAAUAGCCUUUCGAAAGGAAGAUUAAUACCGCAUAAGAUUGUAGCUUCGCAUGAAGUAGCAAUUAAAGGAGCAAUCCGCUAUGAGAUGGGCCCGCGGCGCAUUAGCUAGUUGGUGAGGUAACGGCUCACCAAGGCGACGAUGCGUAGCCGACCUGAGAGGGUGAUCGGCCACAUUGGGACUGAGACACGGCCCAGACUCCUACGGGAGGCAGCAGUGGGGAAUAUUGCACAAUGGGGGAAACCCUGAUGCAGCAACGCCGCGUGAGUGAUGACGGCCUUCGGGUUGUAAAGCUCUGUCUUCAGGGACGAUAAUGACGGUACCUGAGGAGGAAGCCACGGCUAACUACGUGCCAGCAGCCGCGGUAAUACGUAGGUGGCAAGCGUUGUCCGGAUUUACUGGGCGUAAAGGGAGCGUAGGCGGACUUUUAAGUGAGAUGUGAAAUACCCGGGCUCAACUUGGGUGCUGCAUUUCAAACUGGAAGUCUAGAGUGCAGGAGAGGAGAAUGGAAUUCCUAGUGUAGCGGUGAAAUGCGUAGAGAUUAGGAAGAACACCAGUGGCGAAGGCGAUUCUCUGGACUGUAACUGACGCUGAGGCUCGAAAGCGUGGGGGGCAAACAGGAUUAGAUACCCUGGUAGUCCACGCCGUAAACGAUGAAUACUAGGUGUAGGGGUUGUCAUGACCUCUGUGCCGCCGCUAACGCAUUAAGUAUUCCGCCUGGGGAGUACGGUCGCAAGAUUAAAACUCAAAGGAAUUGACGGGGGGCCGCACAAGCAGCGGAGCAUGUGGUUUAAUUCGAAGCAACGCGAAGAACCUUACCUAGACUUGACAUCUCCUGCAUUACCCUUAAUCGGGGAAGUUCCUUCGGGGACAGGAAGACAGGUGGUGCAUGGUUGUCGUCAGCUCGCGUCGUGAGAUGUUGGGUUAAGUCCCGCAACGAGCGCAACCCUUAUUGUUAGUUGCUACCAUUUAGUUGAGCACUCUAGCGAGACUGCCCGGGUUAACCGGGAGGAAGGUGGGGAUGACGUCAAAUCAUCAUGCCCCUUAUGUCUAGGGCUACACACGUGCUACAAUGGCAAGUAUAAAGAGACGCAAUACCGCGAGGUGGAGCAAAACUCAAAAACUUGUCUCAGUUCGGAUUGUAGGCUGAAACUCGCCUACAUGAAGCUGGAGUUGCUAGUAAUCGCGAAUCAGCAUGUCGCGGUGAAUACGUUCCCGGGCCUUGUACACACCGCCCGUCACACCACGAGUUGGCAAUACCCAAAGUGCGUGAUCUAACUCGAAAGAGAGGAAGCGCCCUAAGGUAGGGUCAGCGAUUGGGGUGAAGUCGUAACAAGGUA